CAGCAGCCGCGGUAAUACGAAGGGUGCAAGCGUUACUCGGAAUUACUGGGCGUAAAGCGUGCGUAGGCGGCUUCUUAAGUCGGAUGUGAAAUCCCUGAGCUUAACUUAGGAAUUGCAUUCGAUACUGGGAAGCUAGAGUAUGGGAGAGGAUGGUAGAAUUCCAGGUGUAGCGGUGAAAUGCGUAGAGAUCUGGAGGAAUACCGAUGGCGAAGGCAGCCAUCUGGCCUAAUACUGACGCUGAGGUACGAAAGCAUGGGGAGCAAACAGGAUUAGAUACCCCCGUAGUCCCUGUCUCUUAUAC
rnacentral:rRNA from 1 species